rnacentral:rRNA from 1 species
GACGAACGCUGGCGGCGUGCUUAACACAUGCAAGUCGAACGGAAGGGCCCUGCUUUUGUGGGGUGCUCCAGUGGCGAACGGGUGAGUAACACGUGAGUAACCUGCCCUUGACUUUGGGAUAACUUCAGGAAACUGGGGCUAAUACCGGAUAGGAGCUCCUGCUGCAUGGUGGGGGUUGGAAAGUUUCGGCGGUUGGGGAUGGACUCGCGGCUUAUCAGCUUGUUGGUGGGGUAGUGGCUUACCAAGGCUUUGACGGGUAGCCGGCCUGAGAGGGUGACCGGCCACAUUGGGACUGAGAUACGGCCCAGACUCCUACGGGAGGCAGCAGUGGGGAAUAUUGCACAAUGGGCGGAAGCCUGAUGCAGCAACGCCGCGUGCGGGAUGACGGCCUUCGGGUUGUAAACCGCUUUCGCCUGUGACGAAGCGUGAGUGACGGUAAUGGGUAAAGAAGCACCGGCUAACUACGUG